CAAGAGAAUGGUCGUGGACAGGCAAAAGAUCAUAACAAGGUCAGAGUCCAGGAGGUACAGAGUCAAGGCAGGCAAGAGUCAAAACCGUGCGGACUAGCAAAAAACAGAUAAGAGGAAAAAGCAGGAGUACGGAGUAACACGCUGGUUGACUUGACAAAACAAGACGAACUGGCACAGACAGACAGAAAACACAGGUACAUCAAGGUUCUGAGAGCUCUGAUGGAGAGCAUAGCUCUGGAGAAGACAGAGCUCCCCCCUCUCUGUUGCUGCGGAGACAGUUUUUGGGACUCCCAUCCUGACACCUGCGCAAAUUACCACAACUCUAAAGCCUAUGUCCAGGCUCUGCAGUCUGCGCCGUUGAGCUAUGAUCUGAAGGAUGGGAGCCACUCCACUUACCAGCGGGCCUUGGCUCGCCGGAUCGCCUCCAUGCACGCCCUUUAACCCAGGAAGUAAUCCAGGAAUCAAACCACAGCUCACAGGAACUUAGACACCUUGCAAAGGAUCAAAAAUAAAAUACAUUUGAAUUUCUGC